ACAAUUUAAGGAUGCAUGCAUACUUCCUAUUAUGAUUAUAAUUAACCACACUUUUCAAUAUUUGGAUGUUAAUUCUUUGUUUAGAAUGGUUAGGACAAAUUUAGACUUUUUUGGUUAGGCUGUGAUGGCGUUAAUUAGCACAUGAUCGAGUUAGGUACCAAAAGGGCAUUAGUCUUAGGGCUAACGCAAUCAAGUAGCCGAGUCUUGAAUUUCUGGUUGUGUAAAUAUUAAUAUUCUCCCAUAUCUUAUUGCUUUCUAGCCUAACGAAAAAGGUUAGUGGCGACUUAUUUAUUAAAAUUUUCAUAGGCUUAAUUCAUUAAAAUUUUGAAGGCACGAGAUAUGGGCUUCGGAAAGUCCAAGUCAAUGGAUGGCCGUCAGCCUGAGGUCAACAAUACCCUUAAACCUAAUAGGCUCCCUUCCCAUGAGAGGGUUAGGUCGUAAUAGCUUGGUGACUUUGCUGGGAUUGAACCUAAAUCUCUGGUUGUGUGAAUAAUAAUAUUCUCCCGUAUCUUAUUGGAUUUCUAGCUUACCCAAAAAGGCUGGUGGCAACUUCUUUAUUAAAAUGUUCAUAGGCUUAAUUGAUUAAACAAUUAAAAUUUUGAACACUUGAUUUCGCAAGAGAUAUAAAUAGGGGUGAGCGGUUCCAGCUUCCGUAUAAGUUCCACCUGGACCUAUCCAUUGGAACAGUUUCUUCAUUUUUUUGAACCUAUAACCCACCCUUCAUACCCUAGAAUUUAGAAGCUAUCUUAUCACAGGUUCUAAGGUCUAGUCAGGUUUCAUCUAUAUUAUAGAUUGAAAGAUUGUAGUGAAUUAAGACCUUUAAUGACCGCACUUCCUGUUACAAUUCAUUAACUAUAAAGACAUAUAAAAAAUAUAAAUAUUAAUAAAGUAAAAGUCAGUCAUAAAAUGGAACUUCAGACUAGUAAUUCUAGAUUAUACACUAAUCAUCAAACGACAUGGAAUAUUAUAAGAUUGAGCAAAGACAUGAACAAAAAAAAAUCAUUAAAAAUUGUUACAGGUUUGAGGUUCCAAGUUCUUCCAACUAAGAACCUGAAACCUAUCCGCUGAAACAGGUUUUUCAUUUUUUGGAACCUAGAGCUUACUCUGCAGACCUUGAAAUCUAGAAUUUAUAGGUUCCCAUUGGUCCGGUUCUCAAGUUCUAGGUUCUAUCCUAGAACUAUGCUCACCCCUAGAUAUAGGCUUGAGAGAGUCCCAGUCAAUGGAUGGCCAUUGGCCUGAAGCUGGCAAUACCCCUAAACUUAACAAGGUCCCACCCCAAAAGAGGGGUUAGGUCGUGACAAACUUUUAAGAGCUUUGUCCUGCGGGGGAAUGAAGAUAAUAUAAAUAAUUAGAUUAACAUUUUAAUGGAGUUGCUGAUCUCUUACUAAGAAUUGUUGAUACUUUUUUUCUAGGUGAUUUAUAUCCGUGGGAAAAACAAGACGCAUGAUCACAUUUGUGGGUUCAUGCACAGUGCAAAUAAGCUGUGAGUUAGAAGAGAAGCCUGAAAAAGUACGCAAUGGUGACAAGUUAUGUUCUAAUUUGGAGGCUGAACUGAUCAGCCUCAAGAAGAGACACGUGAAAGCAUCAGGGAAGCAUGAAUGAUCUCAUGGAGGUAUAUUUGGAACUUGAAAAGAAAGAGCCUCCCUUGAAAUACUAUUUUUCUAGGGUCCGGAAAAAAGAAACCUGGAUGCAUACGAUGCUAGGGCAUAGUACAUGCCUAAAUGAUUUGGGGCCUCGAAAUCUAGUUGUCUUCCAACCGAGAACUUAAGGUCAAAGAAAGAGAAGGAUGAAGAGAUUCAUGAGUUGAAGAAAUCUAGUUGUCUUCCAUCCGAGAACUUAAGGUCAGAGAAUGAGAAAGAUGAAGAGAUUCAUAAGUUGAAGGAAAUACUGAAAGCAACGAAAGAGCAAUUACAAAAGACAAAUGGAGAUGUACAAAAGUUAGAGGCUCAAAGAGAUGUCUACUAUUAAACAGUAUCGCCAGCAUAAAGCAGCCUUGAAAUGGUCUCCGCAGGAUCUGGACGAGGUAAAUAUGUCACAAGCCUUGAGGUGUGACUAUUUUCAUUGGAUGUUAAAAUAGUGAAAGCUGUUUUACUUACUAAAUACUGAGUGACCUGGAUUUUGGACACUAAGGUGGUUUUAAAGGGAAUAUCGAUGGAUAGACUUGAAACAUGAGUUUAUAAGGAUUGGUUCAA